rnacentral:rRNA from 1 species
AAUAGAUACCCGGGUAGUCCACGCCGUAAACGUUGGGCGCUAGGUGUGGGGAACCUUCCACGUUCUCCGUGCCGUAGCUAACGCAUUAAGCGCCCCGCCUGGGGAGUACGGCCGCAAGGCUAAAACUCAAAGGAAUUGACGGGGGCCCGCACAAGCGGCGGAGCAUGCGGCUUAAUUCGAUGCAACGCGAAGAACCUUACCUAGGCUUGACAUAUACCGAAAACUCACAGAGAUGUGGGGUCCGCAAGAGCGGUAUACAGGUGGUGCAUGGGUGUCGUCAGCUCGUGUCGUGAGAUGUUGGGUUAAGUCCCGCAACGAGCGCAACCCUCGUCCUAUGUUGCCAGCGAGUAAUGUCGGGGACUCAUAGGAGACUGCCGGGGUCAACUCGGAGGAAGGUGGGGAUGAGGUCAAAUCAUCAUGCCCCUUAUGUCUAGGGCUGCACGCAUGCUACAAUGGUCGGUACAAAGGGCUGCGAUACCGCAAGGUGGAGCGAAUCCCAAAAAGCCGGCCUCAGUUCGGAUUGGGGUCUGCAACUCGA